CGAGAAAGCCCGCAAGGGUGAGUACAGCGGCGCACGGGUGCGUAACACGUGAGUAAUCUGCCCUGGAGCCCGGAAUAACCUCCCGAAAGGGAAGCUAAUGCCGGAUGAGCCCACGGGGUCCUUGGACCCUGAGGGAAAAGGCAGCCUCUGUAUACAAGCUGUCACUUCAGGAUGAGCUCGCGGCCCAUCAGCUAGUUGGCGGGGUAAUGGCCCACCAAGGCUACGACGGGUAGCUGGUCUGAGAGGACGAUCAGCCACACUGGAACUGAGACACGGUCCAGACUCCUACGGGAGGCAGCAGUGGGGAAUCUUGCGCAAUGGGCGAAAGCCUGACGCAGCAACGCCGCGUGUGUGAUGAAGGUCUUCGGAUCGUAAAGCACUGUCGCGAGGGACG
rnacentral:rRNA from 1 species